UCCCCGAUCGCAACUGCCGCGAGCGGGCUCGCAGCGGAGGGGGCUUUUUUUCCGAGAUCGAUCGUCUCACCCUAGAAAACGCCGGGCGCUGACCAAUCCAACCCCCUCGAUGAUCCGCAGGCCGCAACUUCCUCCGCUGCUGGCACGGACGCGCGUCCUCCAACCUCGAGGUCGUCGCCAUCAACGACUCCGGCGGUGUCAAGCAGGCGUCCCACCUCGUCAAGUACGACUCCAUCCUCGGCACCUUCAACGCCGACGUGAAGAUCGUCGACGACACCCACAUCUCCAUCGACGGCAAGUCCAUCGAGAUCGUGUCCUCCCGCGAUCCCCUCCAGCUCCCCUGGAAGAAGCUCGGCGUGCAGCUCGUGAUUGAGGGCACCGGCGUCUUCAUCGACACCCCCGGCGCGUCCAAGCACCUCGAGGCUGGCGCCGAGAAGGUGCUCAUCACCGCCCCCGCCAAGGGCGACGACAUCCCCACCUACGUGAUGGGCGUCAACGCGGACCAGUACACCCACGCCGACAAGAUCAUCUCCAACGCGUCGUGCACCACCAACGGCCUCGCGCCCUUCGCCAAGGUUCUCGACGACAAGUUCGGCAUCGUCAAGGGUCUCAUGACCACCACCCACUCCUACACCGGCGACCAGCGCAUCCUCGACGCGUCCCACCGCGAUCUCCGCCGCGCCCGCGCCGCCGCGCUCAACAUCGUGCCCACCUCCACCGGUGCCGCCAAGGCUGUCGCCCUCGUCCUCCCCCAGCUCAAGGGCAAGCUCAACGGCAUCGCGCUCCGCGUGCCCACCCCCAACGUCUCCGUCGUCGACAUGUGCAUCCAGACCGAGAAGAAGUGCACCGCCGAGGAGAUCAACGCCGCCUUCCGCGAGGCUGCCGAGGGCCCCAUGAAGGGCAUCCUCGCCGUCGCCGACGAGCCCCUCGUCUCCAUCGACUUCCGCUGCUCCGACGUGUCCACCACCAUCGACGCCGCGCUCACCAUGGUGAUGGGCGACGACCUCAUCAAGGUUGUGGCCUGGUACGACAACGAGUGGGGCUACUCCCAGCGCGUGGUCGACCUCGCGGAGCUCACCGCCACCAAGUGGGGCAAGUAAUCG
rnacentral:lncRNA from 1 species